rnacentral:rRNA from 1 species
CAGUAGCCGCGGGAAUACGGAGGGAGCUAGCGUUGUUCGGAAUUACUGGGCGUAAAGCGCGCGUAGGCGGUUACUCAAGUCAGAGGUGAAAGCCCGGGGCUCAACCCCGGAACUGCCUUUGAAACUAGGUGACUAGAAUCUUGGAGAGGUCAGUGGAAUUCCGAGUGUAGAGGUGAAAUUCGUAGAUAUUCGGAAGAACACCAGUGGCGAAGGCGACUGACUGGACAAGUAUUGACGCUGAGGUGCGAAAGCGUGGGGAGCAAACAGGAUUAGAUACCCCUGUAGUCCCUGUCUCUUAUAC